rnacentral:rRNA from 1 species
AAACUAACAAGGAUUCCCCUAGUAACGGCGAGUGAAGAGGGAAGAGCCCAAGAUUGAAAGCUGGCGUCUUCGGCGUCCGCAUUGUAAUCUCAAGAAGUGUUUUCCGCUUCGGACCAUGCCUAAGUCCCUUGGAAAAGGGCAUCAUAGAGGGUGAUAAUCCCGUACAUGGCAUGGAGCGCCCGAAGCUUUGUGAUACGCUUUCUAAGAGUCGAGUUGUUUGGGAAUGCAGCUCAAAAUGGGUGGUAAAUGCCAUCUAAGGCUAAAUAUUGGGGAGAGACCGAUAGCGAACAAGUACAGUGAUGGAAAGAUGAAAAGAACUUUGAAAAGAGAGUUAAACAGUACGUGAAAUUGCCAAAAGGGAAGGGUAGGAGGUCAGAGAUGCGGCCUGGGAUUCAGCCUUGCUUUUGCUUGGUGUUUUUCCCAGAUUGCAGGCCAACGUCGGUUUUGGGCACUGGAGAAGGGUAGGAGGAACGUGGCACCUCUCGGGGUGUGUUAUAGCCUCCUACUGGAUACAGCGACCGAGACCGAGGACAGCAGCGUACUCGCAAGAGCGGGCCUUCGGGCACCUUUACGCU